rnacentral:rRNA from 1 species
AGUGAACGCUGGCGGCGUGCCUAAUACAUGCAAGUCGAACGGAGUGGCGCACGGGCGGGUAAUGUAUAGCUAAUAUGCCCUCCAAUAGAGGACGACAGUUGGAAACGGCUGUUAAUACUCCAGAGUGUAGGAUGAGGCUAUACUGUAUCAGCUAGUUGGUGAGGUAAUGGCUCACCAAGGCUAUGACGCAUAACUGGCCUGUGAGGAUGAGCAGUCACACUGGAACUGAGACACGGUCCAGACUCCUACGGGAGGGAGCAGUAGGGAAUAUUGCGCAAUGGGGGAAACCCUGAAGCAGCAACGCCGCGUGGAGGAUUACACUUUUCGGAGCGGAAACUCCUUUUGUUAGGGAAGCGGUACCUAACGAAUAAGCACCGGCUAACUCCGUGCCAGCAGCCGCGGUAAUA